rnacentral:lncRNA from 1 species
AAAAACAAGUUCGAUGACAAAACUCUUAACCACGUCAGAGGAAGAAAUACAUAAUAAGCAAAGAUCAGACUAUUUGUAAUCUAAUUAGCGUAACAAAGACUUGUAAGCAUUUCAAAACCUAUUAACUAAAAGACUAUUUGCAUCAACCUUUUUGUUUUUAUUGAUUCUAUAAUAUCUGUUACAUAAUUAAGAGAAUGAAAAUGGGAGAAGAUGAACGAAACGAGAUGACUACGAUUUAGAUGCUUA